AAAUGCUUUUAUUUCUAUUUUUAAAUGAAAUGCAUUGUUAGGUACUUGCAUGAAACCUCGAAAGGCAUUUACGUUCUUUGCUUUAACUCUUCCUUUGUGGCCACAGAAAGCGGGUAGGAAAGAUGAACCGAGAACAGGCGCAGCAGACACAGCCCAGGCAUUGUGCGGAUCCUGCGGCCCCGAGCCCACCUGAGUGACGGUCAGUAGUCGUCGUAGUUGACGCUGGCUCCGUGCCUGAAGCCAUAGGGGCUCCAGGGACCGAUCGCAGCAUCCUCAUCGUGGUGGCGCUGGUGGUAAUCGUAGUAGUCGUGCCCAUUCCGACCUCUGUUUAGCCAAUAGGUGAAGGCAUCCUCAAAUAUCUG